rfam:Citrus sinensis cultivar Ridge Pineapple sweet orange scaffold00066_contig_75, whole genome shotgun sequence.
UGGAGAAGUAGACAUGGUGUGAUAUUGGUUCGGCUCAUCUUAAUUAAUAGAUUCAUAUUUCAGCCCUUAAGGUUCUUACAUGUAUAUAUCUAGACGAGCCGAAUCAAUAUCACUCUUGUAUGCUUCUUU